rnacentral:lncRNA from 1 species
CCUGUAAUUUCUGGUUUACUCCAGAGUAAGAAGAUGUAGCUGAUUUUAUAUUAAGGAUGGCAAGAAUUCUGAAUUCAAAUUCUGCCUGGCAGUCUAAGAAUUCUAGAGGGUGAGAGAAUGAUUCCCAGUGCCAGAGAAAGGGGCAAAGUUCUUUAUUAUUGCAGUAACCGGAGCUGUUCCCCCUUUCAUUUCUAAUGAUUUUUCAUUUCUAUUACUCCAGGUUCAGAAUUCCAUGACCACCCCAACAAACUCUAUGGACUUCAAAAGAAGAGAGGUGGAUCUGGCUGGUGACUUACUGUGAGCAGGCCUGGGCACCAGUUUGAUCCUGGAAUUUGAGUUUGGAGGAGCUCCCUCAGACAGCUUCCUUGAGAAGGUCUCGUGGUGAGUGAUGACCGACUUCCUUUUCAGGGGAAGUCCCUUUGGCCAAGACCUUUAACUCCUGCCUGGCUCAGCCUGAGCCAGAGCAAUUUAAAUUAAUUCUUUCCUCUCUCUCUCUCUUUCUUAAUUUCUUUCCUCUAUAUUAAUUAAAAUCACCAUAACUUCUAGCUGAAUUGGCUAUUUUAUUAUUUGGGAUAUCCCAUGGUGACCAAUAAUUAAAUAUAUUUUAGGUCACAAUGCUAAAAUUAUCCUUUACAAUCACCACUUACCUGGCCUAUCUAAUGGACCUCUAAUUGCUAUCCAGCCUCUUUUCUCUCUAAUCCAUCCUCUAUAAUACUAUCAAACUGAGAAUCCUAAGGCAUAGGUCUCGCCAGUAACUCCCUGCUCCAGAAACUCCCAUGUCCCUCUUGCCUUUAAGAUAAAAUGCAAAUUCCUUUGUUUAGUUUUUAAGGCCUUUCACAAUCUGGUCCCAAUUUGUCCAAGAUGACAGAUUCUUUUGGAUAUCAAGGGUCCCUUUGGCAAUCUGGCAAAGCCUAUGGACCCUUUUUUCAUAAGAUUAAUUUUAAAAAAUAACAUGUAGGAUUACAAAGGGAAAAAAUAAUAUUGAAACAUAGUAAUCAAAAUAUUUUUUAAAUCAAGUUCAUAGAUCCCAGAUUAAGAAUUUCAUAGAACUUACUCUCAUGUACAGUAAUCUAUGUUCCAGUCAAAUUAGCCCACU